UGGUUGUUUAUUUUUUUUUUCGUUCAUUUUAUUCCUGAUUCGGCGUUUUGAGACCAAUUGAAGAUGGUGGGCAUGUAACGUUGAAGAGGAAUUUUAGGACAGAGAAGUCAGUGGUCU
rnacentral:ribozyme from 1 species